UCCAAUUCCACCCCCAUGAUUAAUGCCAAACCCUAUUAAGAUCCUAUUGCCACAAUGGGGCAGGGGAACAGGACGAGGUUCAAACCUCGUCAAGCACCCGGUACGUUCUCGCCUUUGUCUAAAAUUGUUGACGAAAUCCCUUCACCGCUGCUGGACAGCACCUAAAAAACCUCCAAAAUUCCAAUUUAACACCAGCGGACAAAAAGGAAGCCCGCGGCGGGGUGGG
rnacentral:misc_RNA from 1 species